rnacentral:rRNA from 1 species
UGGAGAGUUUGAUCCUGGCUCAGGACGAACGCUGGCGGCGUGCCUAAUACAUGCAAGUCGAGCGAAUCGAYGGGAGCUUGCUCCCUGAGAUUAGCGGCGGACGGGUGAGUAACACGUGGGCAACCUGCCUAUAAGACUGGGAUAACUUCGGGAAACCGGAGCUAAUACCGGAUACGUUCUUUUCUCGCAUGAGAGAAGAUGGAAAGACGGUUUACGCUGUCACUUAUAGAUGGGCCCGCGGCGCAUUAGCUAGUUGGUGAGGUAAUGGCUCACCAAGGCGACGAUGCGUAGCCGACCUGAGAGGGUGAUCGGCCACACUGGGACUGAGACACGGCCCAGACUCCUACGGGAGGCAGCAGUAGGGAAUCUUCCGCAAUGGACGAAAGUCUGACGGAGCAACGCCGCGUGAACGAAGAAGGCCUUCGGGUCGUAAAGUUCUGUUGUUAGGGAAGAACAAGUACCAGAGUAACUGCUGGUACCUUGACGGUACCUAACCAGAAAGCCACGGCUAACUACGUGCCAGCAGCCGCGGUA